rnacentral:rRNA from 1 species
CCUACGGGGGGCAGCAGUGGGGAAUAUUGCACAAUGGGCGAAAGCCUGAUGCAGCAACACCGCGUGAGCGAUGAAGGCCUUCGGGUCGUAAAGCUCUGUCCUCAAGGAAGCUAAUGACGGUACUUGCGGAGGAAGCCCCGGCUAACUACGUGCCAGCAGCCGCGGUAAUACGUAGGGGGCUAGCGUUAUCAGGAAUUACUGGGCGUAAAGGGUGCGUAGGUGGUUUCUUAAGUAAGAGGUGAAAGGCUAGGGCUCAACCGUAGUAAGCCUUGGAAACUGGGAAACUUGAGUGCAGGAGAGGAGAGUGGAAUUCCUAGUGUAGCGGUGAAAUGCGUAGAUAUUAGGAGGAACACCAGUGGCGAAGGCGGCUCUCUGGACUGUAACUGACACUGAGGCACGAAAGCGUGGGGAGCAAACAGGAUUAGAUACCCCUGUAGUC